rnacentral:rRNA from 1 species
UACAGAGGUCUCAAGCGUUGUUCGGAUUCAUUGGGCGUAAAGGGUGUGUAGGUGGCGCCGUAAGUCGGGUGUGAAAUUUCGGAGCUUAACUCCGAAACUGCAUUCGAUACUGCGGUGCUUGAGGACUGGAGAGGAGACUGGAAUUCAUGGUGUAGCAGUGAAAUGCGUAGAGAUCAUGAGGAAGACCAGUGGCGAAGGCGGUUGCCUGGAGCUUUGCUGACGCUGAGGCGCGAAAGCGUGGGGAGCGAUCCGG